AGUGAACGCUGGCGGUAGGCCUAACACAUGCAAGUCGAACGGCAGCACAGUAAGAGCUUGCUCUUACGGGUGGCGAGUGGCGGACGGGUGAGGAAUACAUCGGAAUCUACUUUUUCGUGGGGGAUAACGUAGGGAAACUUACGCUAAUACCGCAUACGACCUACGGGUGAAAGCAGGGGAUCUUCGGACCUUGCGCGAUUGAAUGAGCCGAUGUCGGAUUAGCUAGUUGGCGGGGUAAAGGCCCACCAAGGCGACGAUCCGUAGCUGGUCUGAGAGGAUGAUCGGCCACACUGGAACUGAGACACGGUCCAGACUCCUACGAGAGGCAGCAGUGGGGAAUAUUGGACAAUGGGCGCAAGCCUGAUCCAGCCAUACCGCGUGGGUGAAGAAGGCCUUCGGGUUGUAAAGCCCUUUUGUUGGGAAAGAAAAGCAGCAGGUUAAUACCCCGCUGUUCUGACGGUACCCAAAGAAUAAGCACCGGCUAACUUCGUG
rnacentral:rRNA from 1 species